UUAUCCGUCCUCCCGGUCUGCCGGUCCCCGCCUGGAUGUCCCUGCCAUUCCCCACUGUCUCCAUAGCUGCGUCCUUGGCAAUAAACUAGUUUCCCCUGUACCUCCUGGUCUCUGCAUUUGGGUCCGCCACCACAUACCGUAACAAACUCUGUGUGAAGCGUGAGAUGACUAAUGUCACGUUUGGUUUGUUGACAGGUAACUGUCUUUAUUCCUCACUCCUGUGUAUCAUAACGUUGCAGAGAAGCUCAUCAGAAUGAUGUAUGUUCCUGGUAAAACAAUUAUUCUCUCAUCAGCUUUCUGUAAGAGCAAGUUGGGCGCUUGGAGUCGAAUGAGUAUUAUGUACUGAAAUGACCCUGCCGUGCAGGUGUAAGACAGAGGAAGAGACCGGUGUAAGACAUACACAAAGAGAGGGAGAGAGAGAGACAGAGAGAGAGAGAGAGUGUCUGAUAGAGUGAGAGAGCCUGAGCGGUUGUUUGCAGCCAAAGGAAAGAUUUUUGAAGAAACGAGAGAGACGGUGCCUGUGGAAAGAACGUGGAGGCUGGAGGUCGUGUUUUGUGCACAGAGCCAGGGGGUCGCAGCAGAACACCGGCACAGGAUGAGAGAGAGCAGCAGAGAGCAGGGACAUUUCCCCAACUGCAUCAAGAUGUUAGGCUUUCACAAUGAGUCAUCCCUUUACCAAAUAUCCCCUGAUACACUUCUGCUCCCCUGUUCAGUCUCCCACUCGGAGGGUCUCAGGCUACAUCUCUUCUCACACUCUAGUCCACGAUGAAGCCAGACUGUUAUUUUGUUUUUACUUUCCUGUUCAGUCUCUCCUUCCUUUCUCCCGUCUGUCCCAUAAACUGCAAUAAAACACAAUAUGCCUGGCCAAUGGACGGACCCCAGCUGUGCUGUGACAAGUGCCCUCCAGGGAAACAUAUGGUGCGGCGUCCAGAUCGCACUUGUGGAAUUGAGUGUCAGUCCUGCACUGGUCCCCGGUACACGGAUGCUCCCAACGAGGAGCUGGGCUGCGAAUUUUGCGAAAACUGCGAUAAACCACACAUGGAGUAUCACUCGGAAUGUAGCAGCACUCGUAACGCUGUGUGCAGAUGUGAAGCUGGCUACAGAUGCCAAGACGAUCCCUGCAAACAGUGUGUGCCGAUACCAUCCACCACUACCACCAAACCCACACUCCCUCCAUCCACUACAGGAGCCAUCCCCACUCUCCGGACAACUUCUCAACCAAUCAAAGAGACGGCGUGGUUCGUAGUAAUAAUCGCCCUCCUGUGUGCAGGGAUCACGCUUGCUGCUGUUGCAAAAAUCAAGCCCUUUAUGCUGUGGAUCAAAUCCAAACACGGCUACAUGUUGGCUAAAGAUCCCCAACCAGCAUCACCAUGCUCCGAGGAUGAGCAAGUAUCAACACCCAUUCAGGAAGUUCUUGGGAAAUGUGAAGUAUGA
ensembl:lncRNA